rnacentral:rRNA from 1 species
GACGAACGCUGGCGGCGUGCCUAAUACAUGCAAGUCGAGCGAAUGACGAGAAGCUUGCUUCUCUGAUUUAGCGGUGGACGGGGGAGUAACACGUGGGCAACCUGCCCUACAGAUCGGGAUAACUCAGGGAAACCUGGGCUAAUACCGGAUAAUCCUUCGAAUCACAUGUUUUGAAGUUGACAGGCGCUUCGGCGUCACUGUAGGAUGGGCCCGCGGUGCAUUAGCUAGUUGGUGGGGUAACGGCCUACCAAGGCAACGAUGCAUAGCCGACCUGAGAGGGUGAUCGGCCACAUUGGGACUGAGACACGGCCCAAACUCCUACGGGAGGCAGCAGUAGGGAAUCUUCCACAAUGGACGAAAGUCUGAUGGAGCAACGCCGCGUGAGUGAUGAAGGUUUUCGGAUCGUAAAACUCUGUUGUAAGGGAAGAACAAGUACGUUAGGAAAUGAACGUACCUUGACGGUACCUUAUUAGAAAGCCACGGCUAACUACGUGCCAGCCGCCGCAGUAA